rnacentral:rRNA from 1 species
AGAGUUUGAUCCUGGCUCAGGACGAACGCUGGCGGCGUGCCUAAUACAUGCAAGUCGAACGGUCUUUUCUAUGGAAGCUUGCUUCCACUGAGAAGAUAGUGGCGGACGGGUGAGUAACACGUGGGUAACCUGCCCAUAAGAGGGGGAUAACAUCCGGAAACGGGUGCUAAUACCGCAUAGUUUUCUUGAUCGCAUGAUUGAGAAAGGAAAGACGGCCUUUGUGCUGUCGCUUAUGGAUGGACCCGCGGCGUAUUAGUUAGUUGGUGAGGUAAUGGCUCACCAAGACGAUGAUACGUAGCCGACCUGAGAGGGUGAUCGGCCACAUUGGGACUGAGACACGGCCCAAACUCCUACGGGAGGCAGCAGUAGGGAAUCUUCCGCAAUGGACGAAAGUCUGACGGAGCAACGCCGCGUGAGUGAAGAAGGUUUUCGGAUCGUAAAACUCUGUUGUCAGAGAAGAACAAGUUGGAGAGUAACUGCUCCAGCCUUGACGGUAUCUGACCAGAAAGCCACGGCUAACUACGUGCCAGCAGCCGCGGUAAUA